UACGUAGGGGGCAAGCGUUGUCCGGAAUCAUUGGGCGUAAAGAGCGUGUAGGCGGCCCGAUAAGUCCGCUGUGAAAGUCCAGGGCUCAACCCUGGAAUGCCGGUGGAUACUGUCGGGCUCGAAUCCGGAAGAGGUGAGUGGAAUUCCUGGUGUAGCGGUGAAAUGCGCAGAUAUCGGGAGGAACACCGGUGGCGAAGGCGGUUCUCUGGGCCUUACCUGACGCUGAGGCACGAAGGCCAGGGGAGCAAACGGG
rnacentral:rRNA from 1 species